ACGGAGGGUGCGAGCGUUGCUCGGAAUCACUGGGCGUAAAGCGUACGCAGGCUGUUUCGUAAGUCGGGUGUGAAAGCCCGGGGCUCAACCCCGGAAUUGCGCCCGAGACUGCGGAGCUUGAAUGCGGGAGAGGGAAGCGGAAUUCCUGGUGUAGAGGUGAAAUUCGUAGAUAUCAGGAGGAACACCGGUGGCGAAAGCGGCUUCCUGGCCCGACAUUGACGCUCAUGUACGAGAGCGUGGGGAGCAAACAGGAUUAGAUACCCUGGUAGUCCACGCUGUAAACGAUGAGUGCUAGCUGCUGGGAAUGUCUACCGUCUCAGUGGCGAAGCUAACGCAUUAAGCACUCCGCCUGGGAAGUACGGCCGCAAGGCUA
rnacentral:rRNA from 1 species